GGCUCAGAUUGAACGCUGGCGGCAGGCCUAACACAUGCAAGUCGAGCGGUAGAGAGGUGCUUGCAUCUCUUGAGAGCGGCGGACGGGUGAGUAAUGCCUAGGAAUCUGCCUAGUGGUGGGGGAUAACGUUCGGAAACGGACGCUAAUACCGCAUACGUCCUACGGGAGAAAGCGGGGGAUCUUCGGACCUCGCGCCAUUAGAUGAGCCUAGGUCGGAUUAGCUAGUUGGUGAGGUAAUGGCUCACCAAGGCGACGAUCCGUAACUGGUCUGAGAGGAUGAUCAGUCACACUGGAACUGAGACACGGUCCAGACUCCUACGGGAGGCAGCAGUGGGGAAUAUUGGACAAUGGGCGAAAGCCUGAUCCAGCCAUGCCGCGUGUGUGAAGAAGGUCUUCGGAUUGUAAAGCACUUUAAGUUGGGAGGAAGGGUAGUAACCUAAUACGUUGCUACUUUGACGUUACCGACAGAAUAAGCACCGGCUAACUUCGUG
rnacentral:rRNA from 1 species